ACGUAGGGGGCGAGCGUUGUCCGGAUUUACUGGGCGUAAAGGGCGUGUAGGCGGUUGGACAAGUCUGGUGUGAAAUUCCCCGGCUCAACUGGGGAGCUGCGCUGGAAACUGUCUGACUGGAGUGUCGGAGGGGUUACUGGAAUCCCCGGUGUAACGGUGAAAUGUGUAGAUAUCGGGGGGAACACCUGUGGCGAAGGCGGGUAACUGGACGAUAACUGACGCUGAUACGCGAAAGCGUGGGGAGCAAACAG
rnacentral:rRNA from 1 species